UACGGAGGGAGCUAGCGUUGUUCGGAAUUACUGGGCGUAAAGCGCACGUAGGCGGCUUUGUAAGUUAGAGGUGAAAGCCCGGGGCUCAACCCCGGAAUUGCCUUUAAGACUGCAUCGCUUGAAUCCAGGAGAGGUGAGUGGAAUUCCGAGUGUAGAGGUGAAAUUCGUAGAUAUUCGCAAGAACACCAGUGGCGAAGGCGGCUCACUGGCCCGAUACUGACGCUGAGGCACGAAAGCGUGGGGAGCAAACAGG
rnacentral:rRNA from 1 species